rnacentral:rRNA from 1 species
AGCAGCCGCGGUAAUUCCAGCUCCAAUAGCGUAUAUUAAAGUUGUUGCAGUUAAAAAGCUCGUAGUUGAAUUUCGGGAUCAAUAUUUCGGUCAUGCCGUUGGUAUGCACUGUUAUCAUUGAUUUCUCACCUUCUAAAGAACCGUAAUGCCAUUAAUUUGGUGUUACGGGGAAUUAGGACUGUUACCUUGAAAAAAUUAGAGUGUUUAAAGCAGGCUCACGCUUGAAUACAUUAGCAUGGAAUAAUGAAAUAGGACAUCCGAUUCUAUUUUGUUGGUUUUUAGGAUCGAUGUAAUGAUUAAUAGGGAUAGUUGGGGGCAUUAGUAUUCAAUUGUCAGAGGUGAAAUUCUUGGAUUUAUUGAAGACUAACUACUGCGAAAGCAUUUGCCAAGGAUGUUUUCAUUAGUCAAGAACGAAAGUUAGGGGAUCGAAGACGAUCAGAUACCGUCGUAGUCUUAACCAUAAACUAUGCCGACUAGGGAUCGGAUGAUGUUAAUUUUUAAUGACUCAUUC